rnacentral:rRNA from 1 species
GAUGAACGCUGGCGGUGUGCCUAAUACAUGCAAGUCGAACGCACAGCGAAAGGUGCUUGCACCUUUCAAGUGAGUGGCGAACGGGUGAGUAACACGUGGACAACCUGCCUCAAGGCUGGGGAUAACAUUUGGAAACAGAUGCUAAUACCGAAUAAAACUCAGUGUCGCAUGACACAAAGUUAAAAGGCGCUUUGGCGUCACCUAGAGAUGGAUCCGCGGUGCAUUAGUGAGUUGGUGGGGUAAAGGCCUACCAAGACAAUGAUGCAUGGCCGAGUUGGGAGACUGAUCGGCCACAUUGGGACUGAGACACGGCACAAACUCCUACGGGAGGCUGCAGUAGGGAAUCUUCCACAAUGGGCGAAAGCCUGAUGGAGCAACGCCGCGUGUGUGAUGAAGGCUUUCGGGUCGUAAAGCACUGUUGUAUGGGAAGAACAGCUAGAAUAGGGAAUGAUUUUAGUUUGACGGUACCAUACCAGAAAGGGACGGCUAAAUACGAGCCAGCCGCCGCGGUAA